rnacentral:tRNA from 1 species
UCUGUGCUGGUAUAUCGGUAGAACAUCACCCUGUCAUGCCGCAACAAGCGGCGCGUAACGGUGAAGAGCAGGGUUCGAUUCCCUGGCAGAGGG